rnacentral:rRNA from 1 species
UGAUGCAGCGACGCCGCGUGAGGGAUGACGGCCUUCGGGUUGUAAACCUCUUUCAGCAGGGAAGAAGCGAAAGUGACGGUACCUGCAGAAGAAGCGCCGGCUAACUACGUGCCAGCAGCCGCGGUAAUACGUAGGGCGCAAGCGUUGUCCGGAAUUAUUGGGCGUAAAGAGCUCGUAGGCGGUCUGUCACGUCGGAUGUGAAAGCCCGGGGCUUAACCCCGGGUCUGCAUUCGAUACGGGCAGACUAGAGUGUGGUAGGGGAGAUCGGAAUUCCUGGUGUAGCGGUGAAAUGCGCAGAUAUCAGGAGGAACACCGGUGGCGAAGGCGGAUCUCUGGGCCAUUACUGACGCUGAGGAGCGAAAGCGUGGGGAGCGAACAGGAUUAGAUACCCUGGUAGUCCACGCCGUAAACGGUGGGAACUAGGUGUUGGCGACAUUCCACGUCGUCGGUGCCGCAGCUAACGCAUUAAGUUCCCCGCCUGGGGAGUACGGCCGCAAGGCUAAAACUCAAAGGAAUUGACGGGGGCCCGCACAAGCAGCGGAGCAUGUGGCUUAAUUCGACGCAACGCGAAGAACCUUACCAAGGCUUGACAUACACCGGAAACGGCCAGAGAUGGUCGCCCCCUUGUGGUCGGUGUACAGGUGGUGCAUGGCUGUCGUCAGCUCGUGUCGUGAGAUGUUGGGUUAAGUCCCGCAACGAGCGCAACCCUUGUUCUGUGUUGCCAGCAUGCCCUUCGGGGUGAUGGGGACUCACAGGAGACUGCCGGGGUCAACUCGGAGGAAGGUGGGGACGACGUCAAGUCAUCAUGCCCCUUAUGUCUUGGGCUGCACACGUGCUACAAUGGCCGGUACAAAGAGCUGCGAAACCGUGAGGUGGAGCGAAUCUCAAAAAGCCGGUCUCAGUUCGGAUUGGGGUCUGCAACUCGACCCCAUGAAGUCGGAGUUGCUAGUAAUCGCAGAUCAGCAUUGCUGCGGUGAAUACGUUCCCGGGCCUUGUACACACCGCCCGUCACGUCACGAAAGUC